rnacentral:rRNA from 1 species
GUAGGUGGCAGCGUUGUCGGAAUUAUUGGGCGUAAAGCGCGCGCAGGCGGUUCGUUUAAGUCUGAUGUGAAAGACCCACGGGCUCAACCGUGGAGGGUCAUUGGAAACUGGAGAACUUGAGUACAGAAGAGGAAAGCGGAAUUCCACGUGUAGCGGUGAAAUGCGUAGAGAUGUGGAGGAACACCAGUGGCGAAGGCGGCUUUCUGGUCUGUAACUGACGCUGAGGCGCGAAAGCGUGGGGAGCAAACAGGAUUAGAUACCCUGGUAGUCCACGCCGUAAACGAUGAGUGCUAAGUGUUAGGGGGUUUCCGCCCCUUAGUGCUGCAGCUAACGCAUUAAGCACUCCGCCUGGGGAGUACGGCCGCAAAGGCUG